rnacentral:rRNA from 1 species
UACGUAGGGGGCAAGCGUUGUCCGGAUUUAUUGGGCGUAAAGAGCGUGUAGGCGGCCUGACAGGUCUGCUGUGAAAACUCGAGGCUCAACCUCGAGAUGUCGGCGGAAACCGUCUGGCUAGAGUCCGGAAGAGGAGAGUGGAAUUCCUGGUGUAGCGGUGGAAUGCGCAGAUAUCAGGAAGAACACCGAUAGCGAAGGCAGCUCGCUGGGACGGUACUGACGCUGAGGCGCGAAAGCGUGGGGAGCGAACAGG